rnacentral:lncRNA from 1 species
GCGAACCUUCCCUUGAUUCUCGGUCUCGUUUCGGCGUAGGCUUUUCGUGAUGCGUAUCGGAUCGUUUUCUCAAACUUUCUGUUCUUUCUCUUCUCUCUGUACCUCAAAACCCUAGCUUCUCGAUCUAUUCCUGAUGAAAUUUGAGCAGUUUGAUUAGCUGAUUCGGAUCCGGUGUUCAUCGAUCUACCGAAAGGGUUUGUUACAUCAACCAUGGCGUUACCAUCUGGCACGACUCCCACUUCUAAAGAGGAGGACGAUACCUGGAGAUGAGGCAGAGCGUUAUUAAUAUUUAAAUUUUAGAUUUUUAUGUACGAUUUCUCUUCUGUUUUUUUCAUCUUCAAUUUUCUCAACAGCCAAACGAUAUCCUUCAGAAAGCGUAAGAAAAGGGGAGCAAUAAAAUUUUGCAGAUUAAACAAAAAAGAAAAAAACCAUCUGCACCUUUUUUUCACUUCAUUCUCGGAAAACAUUUAGAAACGGAAUGAAAAAACACACUAAAAGUUCAAAGUACCAUGGUCAGCAUCUCAAAUUUUUUCUUGCAUUUUCGUCGAGUUUUCUAGUUAACCAAACGGUCGGUAAACAAAUUGAGAGCUUGAGAAACGAUACUUACACUUUGGCUGAGAGAUUGUCCGUUGUAGAAGGACUUGGAGCCUGAGAAAUCCAUGUCAAAGCAGUUGUCGUUCACCAAUGGAGCUUGAACACUCUUGUUCUGUACUGGAACAACUCCAUCAGUUCCCGAACUUUGCUGCUGCUGCUGCGAUUGAAGCUUUGGAUCCAUCGACGGAUAAUCCAGAUCCAGAUACGGAUCUAUGUCAGAGAACAUGUAAUGACUCGAAUUCAGAUCUGAACUCUCAGCGAGCUUAGGGUUUGGGUUCGGGAGCAACCAGGAAGCGGCCUCGGCCUCUUCGCGGCUAGCAUCGCCGUCGGGAUCGGAGUAAUAACGGUCGUCAACUAGAAGGUUGACGGCGUUGGACUUAGCAGCAGCGGCGGCAGAGUCGUAGAACGGCACCACCGGAACUCGCUCGUGGCGGCGAGCGAGAGGGUUGGCGGAGUGGAUAUCGCGGUCGCAUGUGACGCAGAGAGCGGCGGCGUCGGCCUUGCACGUGACAUGGGCAGGAGCCUGCUCGCAGACCUCGCACAUCCACACCCGCGCGUGGCGAGAGGCGAGCUUGUUGGCCGCAUGGACCUUGGAGUCACAGGCCACGCACAGAAAGGCGGAGUCGGCACGGCAGAAGAGAGUGGGCGGGGCCGAUUUACAGGAGUCGCAGAGCUUGGACGCCAUCCUCCAACUUUCCACUUCAACAACCAUGUCUCCACUACAGUGCUCUCAGUAUUUUCCGCAGUCUCACUGAAAUGAUAAUUGUGAUGAGGAAAUUUGGUAUCUAGGGUGGAAGGGUUAUCUAGUGGGGAAGAGGAUAUCUGAAGAGGGACGAGUAAGGGGGUGACACGUGGGGAAGUCUUAGCCAUAUAAAUGGAUUUGGGAGAGUUAGAAAAUGGGCAGGAGUGGAGCCCACGUGAGCCGUGGUUGACUGUUUGGCUUUUCGUAUAAGAGUUUGGGGAGGUGCGGGGCUCACCCGUCUUAGUUGUUCCAGAUAGAUCCGUAGCGGACUUAGCUGGCUAUCUACUCCUAGAGGAAUGCUCCCGUGUACUGUAUCACACUCAACCCUUUUCAGUCCAUAGAACCUAUCCAAGGAAAGCUAUACAUCAUUAGAAGCUUAUUACCUUAAAUUAUAAGUCAUCUCAGUUUAUAAAUGAGAAAAAUUGAAAUUAAAGGACUUGGGACAACUGUGGAUUGCUCUACUACAAUGACAUUUUGACGCUGCUUCAACUUGCUUAUCGUCUAUGCAACACACAUUGUAGCUGAGAGCCUAUGUUAUUAGAAACAUCCGGCGAGCGUCCGACUGCUGUUUGACUAUAUUGUUGGUUUCCUUUCAUAUGCGCUUCGCCUUUGAAGUCUUGAACAAAUAUUUCUUCAUUUCAUGGUGCAGGGAAAAGAUGAUAUUUAAUUAAAAAGCUAUUCAACGCUAUUUUUCAGUCAAGUCCUUUACCGACCAUCAAGUUCUCCUCUCUGGAAGGAGCUAUAUUUAUUAUUUAAUACAAAAUUUCAAAGAAAUCAAGCUCAAUAUUCUUCAAGGACUUGCUUCUCAAGAAAGCAAAAUGAAGGUUCCCCCGACUUUGCACAUGAUGCACAUAAAAGAAAAAUAAAAGUAGAAGAAAAAGGGAAUUGCAGUUCUGCUUGUUGCUCAAUUACAAUUUCUUCCCUUCACCACAUGUGACUGUGAGUAUCAUCAUUUUCUCGCCCCACUUCUUCACGAACAAAUGGCCUUUAUGAAUUCUAUUCAACUGAAAAUAAUUUCAAAGUGGUUGAAAAAAAAAAAAAUUUUAAGUGAUUUUUUUUUUAAUUUAUCACUAAACAUAGGGAAUAAAGAUAAAAUAUAGUUAAAAUUAAGUUUAAAAUUAUGUAUUUUAAAUUAUUAAAUCAUUAUAAAAUUUAAAAUAUAAGUGAAAUAAAUUUUUAAAAAAUAUAUAAACAUAAUUUAUUAGGUUUAAAUCUAUUUUUAAUUUUUUUUCCCUUUUUUUCCUUCUACUUUUCUUCCAUAUUUUCUUUUUCUCACAUUUUUUUUUCAAUUUAAAAAUAAAACAAAUAUAGAGUAAGACCAUGUUUGAUUUUAAAAAAAAAACUAAGAAAAUGAAAAAUAUUUUAUAUAUAAAAAGUUAUUUUCUUAUGAUUAAAUUUGAUAGAAAGCAUGCAAGAAAUAAUAAUAAUAAUAAUAAUAAUAAAAAUAUUAAAAGAUUUUUCCUCAUCCGCCUUCAAUAAAAGUUAGGAAAACAUAGGAAAAUGAAUACAUCAAUAUUUAGGGAAAUUUUUAUAUUUUUUUAUAUUAUUUUCUUGUUUCAUAUUUUUUUUUUUCAAUUUUCUUUCUUUUAAACUUUAGUAAGAAAUAUGUAAAUAUAAAAGUAUUUACCAACAAUAUCACCUUUCAAAAGAGAGAUUUUAUAAAACAACCACUAUAAUUACAUUAGUUUUUCCAUGAAUACCAUCACAUUCAUGAAAAAUUUUAAAUUUUGAAUUAAUUUUUAAACACUUUUAACUAAAAUCAGAAUUAAGAUGAGAAUAUCAACCUUCUUAUUAAAAUAGUUAUCAAUAAUUUUAAAAUUUUCUUUAAUUUUAAUUUUAAGAUAUCUUUAAUAGAUAAAAGUUUUGAACACAAAUAUCUAUGUGUUUGCUAGCACAACUUAAUCAUUUUGUGUUAUCUCAAAUACAAGCUCUUGUAUUUUCAUGAAUACGAGAGGUUGUAUUCGUGAUAACAUGAUCAAAGAAUCUUUUUUAUUAAUAAACACAUCGUCCAACAAGUCACAUGUGUCAUCCUCAAUAAACUAUAAAAGGUCAAGAGCCUUAAGAAGAACUCAACUUUUCGACCAAAAUAAUAUCAUUUCCAAGAGUUGUACAUUGCAAAAUAAUAGUCUUGAGUACAUAAUGUAUUUAUACAUAAAUUAAAAUAUUUUGAAGUAGAAGAGGUUGAAAAUGGGUAAUUUCUCGUUUGGGAGGAUGAGGUGAGAAAGCCCACUUAGGAAAACUCUAAAAUUAAAAAAAUUUCACAUUAAAUAAAAAAUUCUUUUUUUUGUCACAAAUUUUUUUCUUUUUUCUUUUUACUAAAAGCCACACUCACAUCACAUUAAUUUGGUUGUUGUCCAUAUUUGAUGCUAAUGUGGCAUAAUACUAUGAUUUGAAAGUCACACGUAAGUCCUUUGAAUGGUCGGUUUGGACACGUUGAGGUGGGGGGAGAUAAUUAACGUUCAUUGAUUGACAAAACAUACGCUACGAAAUCUACAGUAUCCUGAUAAUUAUAGCUAUGUAAGGCGUCUUUUUCCAAAGGCCUUUUAGAUCCGGUCUCUUCAUUUCAAUUAUUCGUUGUUAGUACUUAUCCUGUGAGUUUGUUCGUACAAGUACAAAAAAUAUGUUUCACCAUACAAAAUUUAUUAGAAAAGUUCCCUGCCAUGAAUUGAAAUGGGUUGUUAAAAAUGUUCCAUCAUUAAAUAAAUAUAUAAAUAAUGUAAUUAAUAUAAAAAAAAUUAAAUAUAAAUAAUGGUACAAAACAUGAUAUAUAUAUAUAUAUUGAAUUCAAAUCAGAAAAUUAAUAGUAGAACGUAUUAUUGACCUUCUUUUUGUAAUAUGCAUUUUCUUAUUUAAAAUUUUUAAUUAUUUAAAAAAAAAUUGAAAAAUAAAAUGGGUUGAUUGAAUGAGUCCCAUGUCUGAGUUCGUGUAAGUAAACUAGGAGUUUGUUCGAAGUAGUGGAGACUGGAGAGCUCAAAAUGAGACGGAGAAUGGGGCUUGGGAGUUGGUGAAUGGUUUUUAGUUUACGAAGCCCAAUGUGAGGCUUAGAGGAUAAACGAGAUUUUGGAGGAGGAAAAUUGCAGGUGAUGAGAGGUGGUCCAAAUUCCAAACUCCUUGUGAAGAGCUACUGCAGAAUGCCGUGUGGUCAAUGAAAGGGUUAGAACUUAGGUCAUGCAUGACGCAGUUUGCACCAACUUUUUGAGAAAAUAAUAAAGAAAUGUUUAAGGUGACAUUGAGGUAGCAUGCAAACUUUUAUGGUACACUAGUGUCCAGUCGUUGUCUUUUGCUCAUCCAUGGGCCCAUGUCCACAACACAUGCAUAAUUCAACACUCUUUCCUAUUCACACCAUAUAUUUGCAUGUUUUAUUUUCUAUGUUAAAUAUAUGUAUAUAUAUACUAAAUAAACAAGACAUUUAACCUAGUUAUACAAAACUUGUACAAGCUUUCCCAUUGUUAAUGUUUUUAUGUUUCUUUUUUUUUUCUUUUUCGGUUUUUAUACCACUACAAACAUUAUUUAUGCACGUACAUAAAUAUUAAAUGUGAUUUCUUUUAUAUUUUUAUAUACAAGACAUUUAUACUAAGAUAUCUGUAUUUACAUAUAUGCUUGUAUUGUAUUUAUUUAUUGUGAAUAUAUUUGCAAUGUUUUUAAGCAUUUUAAGGGUAUUAUUGGUAUUUCAUUUGAUAAAUUCUUAAAAUGUUUUUUUUUUAUAUAAAUUAUGUAUAAACUUUUAUCCUUUGAGCCAGUACAUUUGCUAGAAACGGAUACCCUUUAACAUGAUCAUCUACUCAAAAGUUGGAACCAUUAGUGUAAUUUUUUUUUCUUCAUGUCCUUUAACUAAUUUAUUUUUAAUGAAAUUUUAUGUAUUUAUUAUUAUAUCAAUUCAAAUUGAUUUUUUUUUAAUAAAAGUUGGAUACUUAUUUGCCUAAUCAUUAUUUAUUUAAUUUAUAUUUUUUAUUCAAAAAAUAAAUAAAUAAAACCUAAAAAAACUAAUUAAUUUCCCUUGUAUGCAUGUUGACAUUGGUUCAUUCCUUGUAACUUUUCCGUUAAUGCCCAUUCAUUCCCCUAUCCAUAUUGAUUUUAGUUCAUGCCUUUCAUUCCCCUUUUGAUAUCAGUUCAUUCCCCAUUCUAUAAUAACCAUUAUUUUUCAUUUUUUUUUAAUCUUUUCUGAUUAUCUUUCAGUGUCUCUUCCUUCUUCAUGCUAGAGAAAUUUUGUCUGUAUCUCUCAUUUGUAAGCUUGAAUUUCUUCUUUGUAAAUGUAAUUUUCUAACACUUUCUAAAACAUAAAGAUUAAUAGCCUAUAUUAUUAAUAUUUUUACACGUAUUAUCUAUUCAUUCUCAAAUAAAAAAGAAUUGAUAGUGAGUUACCAUAGUAAAUUUUGAAUUUAUUUGAAAUAGUAAUUAUUAUGGGUGACUAUAAAAAAAUCCAACAUUACUCAUGUAUUUAGGUGCAUGAUACAUGUCUUCAUAUUAGUGUAUAUAAAAAUCUAAUAGUAUGAUGAAAAAGUGUUCUUCAAAAUAAUUUUUUAAAAAUAAAAAUUGUUUUUUAGACUUGAGAACAUGUUUGAUAAUUUUUUUUAUAGAAAACAAUUUUUUAAAAACUUUUUCUAAAAAUGGGAUAUUUUCUAAGAAUUUGUUUGAAUUGUUUUUGUUUAUGUUUUGGAGGUUUUAAAAAUUAAUUGUACAAAUAUGAAAAAUAAUUGAAGAUAAAAAAUUAUAGUUAAAAAUUAUUUUUAUGCCAAUUUGGAAACAUGAAAAAUAGGUUAAGAAAAUCAAGUUUUCAAAUAAACUUUUGUUUUAGAAAAUAUCAAUAAACAAUUUUUGAAAAUUGUUUUCAAAAAUUGCUUUUUGAGAACUUUUUUGUAAAACGUUUCUAAACACCUCUAAGUGACUCGAUGAAGUUAUAAAUAAUGAGAGCAAGAUGCAAUGUGACUUCAAUACAUAUGUUAUGAUUUGAUUAAUUAUAUGUAAUUAUAUAUAUAUAUAUAUAUAUUGAUUUGCUACUUUAGUCUGACCUAAAUAUUAAUUAAGUUGUUUUAGGCUUUUGUGUUUAUUUUUUUGCUUUUAGUAUUUUUGAUUGUUAAUGCAUUUAAAAUGGGGGAUUGAGUUUAAAUCCAUGUUUUCAUUGCAUCUCAUGCAUCCUUUUUCUUAUCCCCACUCCCUAGACAAGACAAUUACAAUAACCAUCUUUACUCAUUUUAAAGGAAAAUUAUCGAAUAGGGUGGGUUAAAGGUGAUAAUGACGUUAAAGGGUCAUCUACUUUGAUAAUUCUUGUAUAGGAUUAGAUAAAAGAGAGAAAUUUCCUCAAAUACCAUUUAGCAAAAUAAUAUUAUAAAAUUUUAUAAAUAUUCUUCAACUAAAAGUGGGUGGCAUUUUUUCAAGGCAUUUAAAGAGUAUGAAAGUUUUUCAAGACAUUUAAAGCAUGUGGCCCUCAUAUUAGCUGUAAUCAAUAAACACUUAGGGCCCAUUUGGCGCUGUUUUCUAAAAUUUGUUUUCAAAGUAAAGAACAAAAAAUAAAUUUUAAUUUUUUUUUUAAAUAAUGGUGUUUGGCAAUAUAUUUUUAAAAACAAAAAACAAAAAACUUGUUUGGAUGAAAAAAUUUAUAUUGUUUUUAAACAUAAUGUCUUUACUUUUAUUUUAUAGAAAUUUUAUAAGCUUAAUUUAUAAUAAUAUGAAAUCAAAUUCAAGUUAAGUCUUAUUAAAAAAUAAAAAAUAAAUAUACAAUUAUGUAUGAUUUAAAGAUAUAUUUAUAUUUUAAUUAUGAAACAAUUUUUUUUAUUCUAGUGAAGCAAAAAUUACUGUAAGAUAAAAAUAAUUUUAAUAUUUAUUUUUAAUAUAAGCCAAAUAAGUACUUUAAUUAAGUUUUUUUAAUUUCUUGUUUGACCAUGAUUUCUUAUGCUUUUUUUUUUAUUUUUUAAUUGAAGUCUUAUUGAAAAUAAAAAUAAUUUUUUAAUUAAAAAAUAAAUAGUUUUUAGUAAAGCAUAAAUAAUAAUAUUAUAAUAAAAUCAUAAAUUAUAUUUUUAGUAGAAAAUAUAUUAUUUUAUUAUAUGUUAGGAAAAUAAGGAUAUUAACAUCUUUGCUUUUUUUUUUUUUGUUAAAAAAGAAUAAUACUAAUUGUCUAUAAUAUUUUAUUUAAAAUGAAUAAUGAAUAAAGUUUUACUUUUUUUAACAUAUAAAUGAGUCAAGUUUUUUUUUAUUACAUAUGCACAAAUUUAGUACUCAAUUUUAAACAUAAUAUUCUAGAAUUUUUUUAUUUAAUCUAUAAUUAAUUGGAUUGGUUUUUGAUUGCAAAUUAUUUGUAAAACUUAAAGAAUUUAUUAAAAUUUUUAAAGUAUUAAUUAUGUUUUACUUAAUUUAUAAUCUAUUUACUUAGUGAUUUUUUUUUAAAUAGUUGUGGAUAGGAUAAAUAGUAAAGUCAUGACUCAUGGUAUAUCGGUUUUCCUCUCUUAUUUUUUUUUUUCAAUGAUUAGAUUUAUUUUUCAGUUCCAAAUUAUUUUAAAAAAUUAUUAAACUCAUUAAUAAAUUCAAUAAAAAGUGUAACUUGAUUUGAAGUUCAUUUUUCUAGUGGAAAAAUUUAUAAAAGUUUAAUUAGAUGCAAAAAAUAAAUAAUAGUCAUUAUAGACCAAUUUUUAUCCAUAAAUUUAUGGUAUUAAUAAAUUUAUUAUUUGAGUUUUAAAUUAUUCUUAAAAAUUAUUAGACUUGUUAAUAAAUCCAACACAUUAACUUUGAUUUAAUUUGGAGUUCAUUUGGCUAGUAAAAAAAAUUGAAAAAAAAUAUUUUUAUAUAGAAGAGAAACAAUAGAGUUGUUUUAAGCCAAUUUUUGUUCAUAAAUUUUUGGUAUUAUUUAAGUUUUAAAUUAUUUUUAAAAAUUAAUAGACUUGUUAACAAAUCUAAAGCAUUAAGUUUUGUUUAAUUUGGAGUUAAUUUGCAUAAUAAAAAAAUAGAAAAAUAAUGAUUAUAUGUAGAAGAGAAAUAAUAAAGUAUGUGUGUUUUUUUAAUUAUUUUUAAAAACCGGUGAAAAUCUAAAAAUUGUUCUUUAUUUCACUUUGUUUUUAAAAACUAGAAACAUAGAAUAAUAACCAGAUAGCGUUAUGAGUUUUUAAAAACUGUUUUUUUUUUUUGUUUUUAAGAACGGAAAAUAGUUUUUAAAAACUCCGUCAAACAGACUCAUAAUUUUUCAUUUGGGUUGUUUAAAAGAACUAAAAAAUGAUGCAAAAUGCUUAAUCCUCUUUAGUUUUUAUUUUUUAUUUUUUAUUAUGAUAAAAUGAUUUUAAAAAUUAUAUUAUUUGUAUAUUUUUUUCUUUUUUCCUUUGCAUAGUUUUUUUCUUAAUUUUUAUUUAUUUAUUUAUUUUCAAUGCACAAGUUGUCGAUGUUAAUACAAGGGUAUGAUCAUAACAUACUCCCUAGCAUAAUUAUAUUAUGAAGCAUCUUUGAAGCCAAAUGAAGUACAAAUUUGAAUUCAUGAGACUUAUUAUUAUUAUCAUUUAUAAAAAUGAUUAAGCAGAUUCAAUGCACUGAGUGAAUGAUGUUAAUAUACGGUAUGAUAUGUUAAUACAUUACACUUAAAAUACAAAUACACAAACAUUAUGAUAUAUUACAACAUAACCUAAUUUAGAAAAUUUUGAAUUUUUCACGUGUUAUAAUGCCAAAUAAAUAUUUGUAUGUUAUUCAAUUGAUGAGUGUUUAUGAAAAAUAACUACUCAUUUUAUUAGGGUGAUAAAGUUUCACUUAUUUACAAGCUAUUGCUAAAGCUUGUUGUUACAUGCAUAAAAUGACAUAGUAACCUUAGGGUUCGGUUCUUAUUAAAGAGAGAUUGAAAAUUAUUUUAUUUUAUUUUAUUUUUUUGUGUGUGUUCUCUUAAAAAAUAUAAAGAAAAAAUAAUAAUAAUAAGCAAAAAAAAAAAAAAAAUUUACUUUAAUUUUUUAUUAUUUUUCCUUUGACCUAUUUUUAUUGAUUUAUAUAUAUAUAUAUAUAUAUAAUUUUUUUUCUUCUAUUUUUUCACUUUUCUAAUUCUUUUUCAACCCCACAUAAGCAAAAGAGUAACGGAAAAAAAAUGUGAAUUAAAGGGUAAAAUUGUAAUCUCAUGGCUCAUUUUUCUAAUUUUUUUUUUCAAUCCUACGAAAACAAAGGAGUAAUGGGAAAAUGUUGAACAAAAAGUAAAGUUGUCAUCUUAUAGAUCGAGUCUUUCACAAUAAUUUAAUUAGUGAUUCUUUAGGGUCAUUAUCACAUUCAACCCACCUUUGAUAAUUUUAACACAUACUGCCAUGAUAAGAUGAUGAAUUCUUUAUGCAUUUGAGUUAUGUAUAAUGGUGUUUGUAUCAUAAUCCUAACAAUUCGUAUAAAUCAUUUAAUAAAUAAACUGGGAUUGUCUAUUCAACUUGUCUAAUCCGUUUAACACGUUUAAUUAAUCGCUUAAUUGUGUCAAAAUGACUCCUUUAUAAUUUACCCAUUGAUGAUCUAUUUAACCCAUAUAAAAUUUUAAUUCUAUAUAUUUAAAGAUUAUAAAAAUUAAAAAUACUUUUUUAAUUAUAAAAAUCAUAUAAUUAAAAUUUUUGAAUAACUAACUAAAGUAAAACUUAUAUAUUUCAUUAUAAAGAUUAAAAUUAUUUUAUAAUUAAAAAAUUAAAUAAAAUAAUUAAAAAAAUAAAAAUAAAGUUAAACAAUUAAAUGAAUUAAUAUUUAAAAAAUUAAAAAUUAAAAGUUAAAGAAACUAAAAAGAUUUUUAAAAUAAUAUUCUUAUAAAUUUGGAAUUUUAAAUAGGUUAAACAUGUUAUAAUUAUGUUCAUAGGUUUGAUGAGUUAUAAUCCUAUUAAUUGGUUAUAUGUGUUAAUUCAUACACAAUAUAACCUAGCACAUUUGUUAAAUGAGUUAAACAAGUCAUUAUUGUUAGGAUAUUUUAUUUAGUUAGCAAUUUUGUUUCAUUUUUUACUCAUUAGAUGUGAUUUACUUCCUUGGGUUCUAUUUAUCUAAAGACAACUUCAAAUUUUAUCAUAUUUGGAUUCGUGUUGAUUCAAAGUUGCUAAAUUUGAGAUAAGUAUGCGUUUUUGGUAUGGUAAGGCUCUUGGAAUGACAAUUAUAUGAUUCAAGUUGAAAUAACAUGAAAAUGGAACUCGAAAAAUAGCGAAAUUAGAAAAAUGGUUGCCUUAGAUGUUCAAACACCCAAGGUAGGCAUUCAAAUGCCACUAAGGGUAUUCAAACGUCCUUCCACAAGCAUUUAGAUGGCCUCAUUCCUUUUGUUUCCUAAUUAAAUCGGUUUAAAUUUGAAAAAGAAAUUUUUUUGGGUAUUUUAUUGAAAACUCUUCUAAUUGGUUACUAGGGUUUUUAAAAUGUUAUAAAAUUGAGAAACUCUCCAUAAUGGUUAUUAGGGUUUUUGAAGAAUAAAAGGAUUUGUUUUAUUGAACAUUUGUGGAUUUGGAUAGAGAACCCUAAGAGUAUUAUGAUUUUUGUUCCUAAUUCUAUCUUGAUUGCACUAAUCGUUAUAUGAGCAUUGACACCUAUAUCACUUGUAUUGUGUAUAACUUGGGUGUAUUAUGAAUUAUACAAAAGAUUCAAUUAUAAGUUCCUUGUAAGAUGACAAAUAGUUCAACAUUGAUUCAUAAAUUUUGGCAACCAUUCGACUGCUUUUGUAUUCCUAAAACAGAUAUCCAUAAAUACUUUAUUAGUAUAAGUAAGAUAAGGAUUUUUCAAACUUUUGGAAAAAAAAAAAAUGUCACAUUGUGAUAAAACUAUGCUUUUAUCAAAUAACUUUUUUAGACUUAUUCUUUGCAUGAAUGGGUGUAUGAAAAAAGGAACAAAACAAAGACACUUUAGAAACAAAGUAAAACAUGCAUUUAAGGAAGAGAGAGACUAUUUUUAAAGUGGGGCAAUAGACAUUUUCGUAAACUAUAAUUUGCCCUUAAAAGGAAAUCCAAUAGAAAAAAAAAAAAAACCUUUACGACCUUCUAGAAAAAAGUACCUUUUGAUUUUAGUGAAGGUUAGAGAUUUUUAUCAUGAAACUUUGAUAAAGGUUUGAAAGGAUUCGAUAAGGAGCACAGUGGAGUCCUGCAUUAGGGGCGUGGAAAAGGAGUGUAGGUGUCGAUGAUAAGAUCCUAGGGAAUAGGUUCAUGUGAUAAGGUAAAAACUAUGGGCAAUUUUUUUCAUAGUUAGUGAACUAUUUAAUGAUUUUUUAUAUUUAGUAGGUUUCUAUAAGAUUUUUCCAUGCAAUAUCUUGUGUUCAUUUGUAUAGUCAAUUUUAUUUAUUUGUGCAUAGAUUGUUUGCUCUUACUAACAAAUUAAUUUAAAGGGAUAAAACUAGAAAUUGGGAAUAAAAAAUUAAAUUAGGAUUGAUUCAAUGACUACUUAUUCACGCUCAACCAGGAAUGAAAAAUGCCAUAUUUGUUCUCCCAUACAUGUAUAACUUGAUAAUUGUUAGGAUAGAAUUGUUAAAAACAUGACAUAAAAAAUUAAGAAUUUAUCAUUUAUUUAAUGAUAUUCCAGUUUCACAUUCAUGUAUCCUUAUUUCAUAUAUUGUACUUUAUGAGCAUUCUUGCUUAACAUCUCUUGCAUUGUACAUGACUUAGGUGCAUUAGGAGUUAUAUAGAAGAUUCAAGUCAGGGGUUCCUUGUAAAUAAAUGAUUUAUUCACAUCCAAUUCAUGGACUUGGGAAAUCUGUUUGAGAUUGAAUGCAUUACGGAAGGAUGACUGGUCUUGGCCAUUGGGAUAAGGUUCCUAUGGUUAGUGCACUAGUGUGUAUAGUUGCACAUUAAAAUGAGACUUACAGUGAGUCAUGACAUAAAGCUAUUAGGUAGUCAUGAUGACUUUACUAAGCUACUACACUAUAUUGUCUCUCAAUUUUGAGAGAAUAUUGCGCUUAUGCCAAAGUUAGCAAUGGGUUUAACCUACGAGUAAGAUCCAAAAGUGAUCACAUAUUCCCUAUGGAUUGGGUCACUGUUGAUAGAAAAGGUAGUAAUAAAUAUUCUCAAUAAAGGCAUUAUGAUAUCUCAUGGACUUUGAGACAACGUGUUCCUUUGGGUGAUCCUAAGAAUGUGUAAUCAUGAAACCUGUGACGCCGUAGUAAUUUCUUUAAUGAAAUUUGACAUAUACUCUUUAUAAGAUAGAGUGUAUCAUUUGAUCACAUAAUAUGAGGAAAACAUGAAGCCCCAAUUUGAAACAUCAUAGUUUGAAAAGAAAAAAGCCAUAAUUUUUGUUUUUAUAACUUCUAGUCUUGAAUUUGGACCCCAAAUUAAGUUGUCUGAGAUAAAAAAUUUGCAAUUGCAACAUAAGGUACAUCAAUACCAAAAUCUAAAGCUUGAAAUUAAGUUUCCAUGAGUUGAAAUUACAUUAGCAAGAGUUGUCUGAGUUGUUGAAUUAUAAAGAAUAGUUUGUGGAAUUGUAGUACACAACCAUGCAAAGAUUGAUUUGUGUGAACACAAAGUUCUCAAAAUUAGAGUUUUGUUUCAUUUUUGCAGAUGUGAUGGUUAGUAAUUUCUUAUGGGUUUUUUGUUUUGUUUUGUUUUGUUUUUUUUGUUUUGUUUUGUUUUUUUUGUUUUUUUUGUAUAGGUGAAAAAAUGGGAUAUCAUGACUAGGUUGUCUACCACAAGGAAAGAAACAUCAUAUAUGUAUUGUAAAUCGUUAUUACAUUUUUGACUUCUUUGAAGAUUUGUUUGCUACUAGUUUGGAUGAUUUGGGAGAAAGUAGUGUUACAUUUUAUUGUAACCUAUUACUUGUCAAGUUUGAAUCAAUGUCUUAACUUGAACACUAAUGAAGAAUUGCUAUAGAUGUUUUGAGUUUAUGAAUAGUAGAGGACAAUUUACUUCAUGGUGUAACUAGAAGAGUGACUCUAGUUGAGCUUGUGGUCUUAACACAAUCUUCGCAAGCUUGUGGAAAGUCACAUGAUAGAAGUUAAGCUUGAUCAAUGUAGAUUUGAAAAUGAGGUUGAGCCUUUAGCCCAUUGGGUAUGGGUUUAUUGGUAGUAAAGGCUUAAAUACCAUGUGUAGAACUGACCUCAAAAGUUGAAGAUGACAUAAAGUUGGAGAGUAGUGGGAGGAAAUGUAGUUAUAGAGCCACAAAAGAUGUUCAAUGUGAGGUUUAGGAUGAGAAUGUAGUAAUUGACAAUGAUGGUGAGGAUUAUUAGGAAUUUGUUGAUGAGUAUGAAGGUUUUGGCAUUAGUGAUGAUGAAAAUGACAUUGAGUGCUUUCUAGCAAGUUAUAUAGAGAAGCACAUCAAGCCAUCAAGAUUUUGAUAUACACAACAGAGAUUUAUGAUGAACUAUUAGAGUAUGAACCAAAUGAUGAUGAUGAUUGGGACAAAGGUAGUUCAAGAUUAAGAAAUGAAGAAUAAAAAAAGAUUGGUUAUGACAUAAAUAAGAGUUUUAGCAUGGAUACUACAAUGUGUUUGAAAGGGAGAAGACUAAUUUGAAAAAUUUUUUAUUUGAAAAUGUACAUUAAUUUAGAGUUGUCUUAAGGGAUUUUACGAUAUAGGAGAAUUUUGAAGUAAAAAGGAUAAAUAAUGAGAGAUUAAGAAUGACUUUGAAAUGUGUAAUUUAAGGUUGUACUUGGAGAAUUCACACUUCUCUUAUUAUUGAUGGGGUGAUAUACAUGCUCAAGACAUUGACAAACACACACACACACACACACACACACACACACACACACACACUUAUGUGAGAAUCUUAAAAACUUUGAAUGCAACAUUUACAUGGAUAAUGAAUAAAUUAAGGAAAAGGUUAAAGGAGGAUCUUGACAUGAAAUUGAUUGGAAUAAGGAAAGAAUUCAGUGGAAGUCAUGGUAUUAAGUCAAGUAAGAUGCAACUUUACAAGGUUAAAUGGAAAAUAAAGGAUUAGAAUGAAAGAUCACAUUUAGAGUCAUUUGCAAAACUUCAAGCAUAUGUUGAAGUUGUUAGGGUAAAAAAUCCUAGGUCUUUAGUGAAGAUCAAUGUUGAUAAAGAAACUCCAAUUAUGCUCAUACAUUUAAAAAAUUGUUUGUUUCAUUUGAGGCUAUGAAGAGAAGCUUCAUAAAUAGAUGUAUACUUUUCAUUGGAUUGGAUGGAUGUCAUUCAAAAGGGUCGUAUGGAGGUGUUCUACCAUUUGUAAUAGCUUUGGAUGUGAAUAAUGGUUUGUUCUCUAUUGCAAUAGAGGUUGUAAAGAGUGAGAACAAAGAGUGUUGGACAUUUUUUGUUCAGUGGUUGAAGACAAUUUUAGGUAUGAAUUCAUUAAAUAUGCAUUGGGUGUUAAUGAUUGAUGGACAUAAGAUAUGAUGUUUUUUCGACUUUAAAUAUAUUUUUUAUUUGCAUUGUUAAAAGAUGGUAUAAUGAUAGAUUUUUUUACAAAGUGUUGUGAUGCUAUAAAUGCAGUGAUACUAGAGAGUACUCAAAGGUUUUGUUAUAAACACAUUUAUAACAAUUUCAAGUUGAAAUUUUGGGGUCUCAUUUUGAGGAAUUAGUUUUAGGUAAUAGUUAAGCUUACACAAAUGUAAAAUUCAAUUUGGUGAUGGAAGAUAUGAAAAAAACAUGUAAAAAUGCUUAUGAUGGAUAGUGAAAGAUUUCAAUAGCAUAAUAGAGUUUCUAUGCUUUUGUUGAAAGGUUAAGAUUGAUCAUCUAACAAACAAUAUAACUCUUUCGAUCAUUGGAUUAAUGAGCUUAGGGGUAGCCUAUUGUGCAUUUGAUUGAUUUUAUUAGAAACAAAAUUAUAAAUAGUUUUAUAAGAGAUUCUAGUAAGCAUUAGUAUUGGAAGGAAUGGUCACACCCAAUGUCUUAAGAUUUAUUUAAAAAAUGAAGGUUUGAUAGUAGAAAUUACAUUGUUAUUUUUGUAAGGGUUUUGAAUAUAAACAAGUGAAUGACCAUAUAAUCAAACCAUUAUCAAUUUGGAAAAAUAGAAGUGAGGGUGUAAGGCUCGACAAAUUUUAAGAAUUCCCUAUUGGGAAUUUUAUAACAUGCAUUUUGGCCAAAAUGGGAACUUAGGAGAAUAUUUUCAUCCUUAUUUUCAUAAUAUGUAUGUGAAAGGGGAUGAUUGAAAGUUUCACCUAAUUCCAGAUAAGACAUGUUAGUCAACUAGCCCUAGCCAAUCCUCACCAUUAUAAUGAUAACUAGGUAGGUUCAAAAAAAGAAAAAAAUAAACAAAGAAGAAGGAAACUAAUGAGCUUGAUCUAAGAAGGAAGCAUUAGUCUUUAAUAUUAAGGUAUUUCUCAUGUAGAAACUUUGACUAUAAUAGGCCUUGUUAGAAAGUGAGAUAGCUAGAGGAAGAUUAAGUAGAGCAGCCAAUGAAAAUAAAGGUAAAGCUAGCUAUAACAAUGUAAGGGGAUUUUCAACUUGGUACUUCAACUAGAGCUACUUGAGGAGGAACUACUAGUUAUGACAAUAAAGUUGGAUAUAGAAUGAGAAGGAAAAUGAGAACAAAGGGGAACAACAAUGAAGUUAGAUAUAACAUGGAAACGAAAAUGUAUAAAAAAAUAAAAAGAGAGAGGAAAUAAGCUUGCUCAAAGUGACCUUAGAGUCAUAGCCUAGGUUGGCUAGGAACAAAGAGCAAGUAAUAAGCAGGGAGACUUUUAUGAUUAUUGACUAACAAUAGAGAUAAGGAUUUGGGUGGGGGCUAUCUAGGUAUUAUUUCAACAUUUUUUUUAUCAUGUUUUUAAAUAUUUUUUAGAUAAGUUUGGUUAGUUUAGAUGGUUGUUUAAAUAUUUGUUUGGAUGUUUCAUGUCUGUUUUCAACAAACAAGCUCUCUUGUUUUAGUGGAUGUUAGUUUGAUGUCCUAGUCAAUUAUGGAACCAAUUUCACUACCUCACUUUAUGAUUCAAUUUAAAUAUUCUAUUACCUCUUGUUUUUAGGAUUUUUUUAUUAAGAACUCAAUAGUUUUUAGGAUAACGGUUGAAGUAGUUUCAAUGUUUUUAGAAUAAUAAAGAAAAUUAUAAAUUAAAAAAAUUACAACAUACUAAAGAAAUAAAGUCAUUUCUCCAUUAAUAUCAAACUUGUGUUAUAAAAUAUACUGGCCAUUAAUAGUAGGGGUAGGUAAAAGGGAGGGAAAGGGAGGAGGGUGACGGGAAGGAGGGUGAUAAUUUAUAAAAUACAAAGAUCAUAUCAUCAUAUACUAAACAUGGGCCAUUAGUAAGAAAUGUGUCAUCAUUUUCAUCAUCCUCAUCAUCUUUCUUACUAUCAUCAUAAUUAGGAGUAGGGAUUAAGGUUGGAGCAACAGUAGGGGCAAGGGCAUAAGUAAGAGCAAGAGCAUUGAUAUAGGAUGAUCUAGCCACUUUGAAAGCCUUCACAAUAUCCUUUGUUGACUACUAUUGAUAUAGGAUGAUCCAACCAAGAUAUAUGCUUGAUCAAACACGAUUUUCCUUGUAGGAUGUCUACAAAAUUCUUUAUAGGAGAGUUUCAAAAUGGCACACUAACCUCCUUCUCAUAUAUAUAUAUAUAUAUAUAUAUAUAUAUGCAGUCGCACUACAUGACUUCCAAUGCAUUGCAUGAUUUUCAAAGCAUUGGAACUACUACAAUUAUGAUAAGAAUGAAUUGGUCAAUAUUCCUACGAUGAAUAGCUACCAUAUCCUUACAGUCAAUAACUAAAAUACAUUAAUAAUAAGAACAAUUAACAAUAUCAAGAAUCAAUAUCAAUAAAUCUAAGAGUCAAACUAAAAUUCAAAGAUUGCACUUUAAACUUAAAUAUCCAACCAAUGCAUCUACUCUGCAAAUUGAAACAUCACAACCUCUUUAACUAAUAUUCUCAUUCAUGUAUAACAAUGAUGAAGAACAUUACCAACAUCAUAUAGACAAAACACACACACAAAUAAUACUACAAAUUAUUUGAAAAUUUUCUAGAUCUCUCUAACCUCUUUUGUGCAAAAUGUUUCACAUCAAUGCAAGGGGAUUUUGGAUUUCCAACUGUAAAUGAAAUUCUCAUCUUCAACCAUUUCCCUUUAAUCAGGCUCCCAUCACUCAAAUAAAUUUAGAAAAGUAUAUUUGAAUUUCUUUGGGCUUGGUUGAUCUUUGUAACAACUUUCUUCUUACACUAAUACCUUCAAUUUUUGAAUCUAAUGCUAAGCGGGGACGUAGUAGAUGACGAACAUGAAUCUUCUUUAAUAAUAAAAAAAAUAAACAUAAAAAUUAGAGCAAUCAUUAAAAAACAAAGCCUAAUUUAAAAAAAUAGAGGAGAAACCUUAUAUCUAAUUUAAGCUCAUCUACUCUAAAAUUUUAAGUUUUGCACUAUGAAUGGUUUGAAUAACUACCUUCAUGAACCAUCAUCUUUAUCUUCCUUUUCAACUUUUUCUUCAUCUUUGAUUUAGGGUUUCACUUGAAAAUGAAAUAGAGGUAUAGAGCACUUAGAAUGUUUGAAAUUAAAAAUGAAAUAGAAGUGUAAUGCUUUUGAGAUUUAGUUGAUAUUUUAAAAGAAAAUAUGAGAUUAAGCCUUCGAUUUUAGUUGAUAAUGGAGAAGAUGAUGUUUUACUGAGGGUUGUGUUUUACUUUGAAAGAAAGCAAGAGUAUUUUUAGGCUUUCUACAAAAAUUUAAAUGAUAACGUCAUUAGAUAGAUAAUAGUCAACAAUUGUCACUAGUCAAAAAGGUGAUAAUGUCAUCCAAUGGUCAAUUAAGAAAGUGCUAGUGUAAUUUCAAAAACCUAAAUGAGUAAAGUUUAAUUGCCAAAUACCUUAAGAGACAUUUGCAUAUUUUUCCUUCUUUUUUUUUUUUUAUGAGUUGUUGAAUUUUUCUCCUUUCCACCUUUCAAGUUUUAGCCAUCUAUGGAUCAAGUAAGGAGCAUUUUGAAAUAAGUUAGGAUGGGUCUUUCAAAGAUUAGUUCGUCUCUGGUUUAUUUAUUUUGUGUAGUUUGAAAUGAUUAGUGAUCAUUUUAGCUUUUCUUUUUUGUAAAAUUUGGAUACAUUUUUCAUUAGUUAAUUAAUUUUUAUUUAAAUACUUAUUCAUUGUAUUGGAAGCUAAAGCUCAAUUUCAUAUUAAGUGUGAUUAAUUUGAAAUAAAUAACUUAAAGAGUUUUGCUAUAAUAUUGAGUCGAUAUGUAUUUAAAAGUGGAAUCAACCAUAAUAUGCCAAGUGUAUAAUUUGAUCUAAUUUCUUUGUACCUCACUUGCCUCUCAUUCAUUUGUAUUUUGGUAUUAUUUUUGUGUACUUUGGUCUCAUUUAUUUGUACCUGAUUCUAUUUGUUUAUACUCUUAUUCCAUAUAUUUAUACCCUCAUAUAACGACCUAAAUGUUAACCAUAUACCUUCAAUGAUUGAGAUUAUAAGUUCAAUAGGUAUAAAAUUGACAUCUCAACAUUUUCUUCAAUUUCAUUGCCACUUAUAAUUAGUGUGUUCAAAUAUCAUUUUUAAUAUCGGGUCUUCAAGCUUAAUGUGUGAAAUGACUCUUACCUUAGACAUGGACUCAAGAUGCUAUAAUAGUCUAUCUCAAACCAAUAAAAAAUUAUUGAGUUUUGAUAUUUCAUGAACCAUGCAUGAUAUUGAAGAGAGAAGUUCCUAUCACCUAUAAUGGAUGGCUCCUCCAUAGUGUUAUAAAUAAAUAAACAAAUUUUAAAGUUGUGUGGGCUAAAAAACUCGUAACAAACAAUAUCUAUAUAAAUAACAUGAGUCUUAGCACUUUUCUUCACCAACAGUUUGUUUUUAAAAUACAUGCAUAUCAUUUGAUUUGAUGAUUAUUAUAUCAAUGAAUUUCCUAAAACUCCAUAACAUUUUUAAAGAUAAUUUGAUAUAAUAAAAGUUAAAAAAUACAAAAAUAAUAUUUCUUCUAGUUAAGUGAUGGUAGUGAUGAGAUAUUAAUAAACUUACUAGCUGUUUUUUAAUAUUAUAAUCAAUCACUCUAGAAAAAAAAAAAAAAAAAAAGAUUUAUGUUACACCUUUCGAACCCUAUUUUUGCAUUUUUUUUAAUCCUUAAAAGGUUUUGUAGUUAUAAAGGAAGAAUUUUGGAAUUGAAGUGGGAGUAAAAAAAAAAUAUCGGCAACCCAAAAAUAAAUUUGAUGAUACAAAGAAGGAUUCUAUAUUUAUUUAUUAAUUUUGGAACAUAAUUUGAGGAUUAUUUUCAAAAUUCACUAGUAGAAAUGAAUUAACGUUAACAACUUAUGCCUAAAGCGAGUCAAACUUCAAUUGGCCCGACAUUGUCGAGAAACUUUUAUCCCAUAAUUUCCAAAUGGACUAAGCCCAACCAAAUAUUGGACUAGCUAAAAAAUGGUUUAAAUAGUUGAAUCAGAAAUGGUUUUUUUUUUUUUUUAAAUUGCAAUGUUUUAAAAACCCGACUUGAUUGGUCAAUCCAACUUGUCUAAGCAAUGACUAGUGACCUUUUCAAUCUAAUUUACUAAUUUGAACUAUUUUUACAAAGCAUUAGCCUUAAACCGCUUGAAUUGAUGGUUGGAUCAAUGAACUAUUUGAAUUGGAUAAUUCAAUGCUAUUUAUUUUUUGAAAUAUUUCUAGUCAAAAUAAUGUUUUGAUGUUGUUUAGAACUAAACAACACCAUCUCAUGCUAAUGUUAAUUUAGCACCCUCUUGCUUUACUCUUUCUCAAACUUAGUUUCUUGCUUGAGUUUUUUCUCUAGUUCUUAAUUGUUUCUUCGCUCAUGUGUGUUGAUGAUAACUCAACAGGUGACCAACGCCAACAUUAACAAUGACAUUUGGAGGAUGACUAAGUCAACUGACAACGCCCCGUCACCAUUUUGAAGCUCUUUCACUAUGAUGCUCGACCACUGGAUUCUAGAAAAGGACUAAUGAUGACCCAUCGCCAUUUUGAAGCUCAUCGAGAAUGCCCCAUCAUCAUUUCAAAACUUUGUAUCUUGAUCAAAAGAAGCUCUUGAUUCUUCCAAAAAUGAUAAAUUUGGUAAAGAUUGGUUAUUUGAUUUGUAUGAUUCAUACUGAUUUGUAAACAUUAGAGUCAAGCUUAGAUUUGGAUGAGAUAUUUAAAACCUAAGCACCAAUUUUAAAAACAUUAUAAUAGAUCUUAAAUUUGGAUGAGAUGUUUAAAACCUAAGCCUAGGCACUAUUUUUAAGAAAAUAAUUGACUUAGAUUUAGAAACGUACCCAAGACUAUUUGCCAUUUUAAUAAUGAAGAAUGUAAGAUAGGGAAAAUUGAUGUUAUUAUUAGUUAUUGGAUUCAAUUAAUACAACUCUUCCUUAUUUUUUCUUCAAGUAGCAUCUUAAUUUAGUUCAAGCCAACAUGACAUGCUUCAAACUUGGAUAUCAUGUUUACUACACCCCUACUCAUCUGGGAAUUUAACUUAGCUUCACCCUUAUUGAAACCUUUCCUUCUAAUCCUAAGCAAAUUAGCAUUACAAACUCACUAAUAAUGAUACUAUGUGUGUUGAUAAAUCUCUUUUUAGCUUUCAAGGGUUUAAGGAAUAUAUAUAUAUGAACAUGCCUAGUUUGGGAACUAAAAGUUAAUUUUCAACAACAACGUUUAGAUCAUAUGGAUAUUUUUAAGUUUGAAAUUUUGUUUCUAUGCUUGUGUUAAAGGAGAAAAAAGGUUAGAUGAUGUAGUGUUUAUUAAGCUUCAAUCAAGUGGAGGCUAUUUGGUUGAUGCUAGCUUGAAUUUGAACUUUGAUAAUUUAACAUCACAAUGAAGUGAUGAUGGGUUGAUAGUUGAUUCAUGAUAUUGCAUAAUUUCUUGACACAAAAAAAGGUUGGAAGCAAGCUUUGAUAUUUUUUAAAUGAUGAUAAAAAAAAUUUAAAUUAUUAUUUUUAAUUUAUAAUAAGUAUCAAUGUGAUUAUUGAUAACUUAUUUUUUGAAUGAUGAUUAAAAUUAUUAUUAUUAUUAUUAUACAAUUUUCUAAAAAAUAGAAUCAAACUCCACACCAUCAUCUACUCAAGAGUCAACUAGAAAUUCAUAAUCAUUUAAUUUUUUUUUUACAAUUUUCUAGAAAGAAAAAAAAAAUCAAACUUGGCACCAACAUUUGCUCAAUAGUCAACUAGAAAUUCACAAUCAUUUAAAGGUAAGACCAACCUUGCAUGAGACCAUAUUUCUGAAGAAAGAUAUGCAAAUAGAAGAAAAGCUUUCAUUUGUUUGUAUUGCAAAAGAAUUUAUGAAAGAUAGAGGAAUUUAUAAAAUGAAACAACACCAUGUUAGAGUGAAAGAUGAUAUUAGACCAUGUAAAUCGGUUCCUUUUGAUGUUAAAUUUUGCGUGAAAAAUUCUUUGUAGGAGUUUGUGAAAUUUAAAAAGCCUAUUCAAGAAGCUUAUGAAUAUGAACAUUUAUAUAACUCUAAUGUAUCAUAGUUUGAAGGGAUAUACUAGAAUAUGAAGAAGAUGUUCAAGAAAUGCAAAGUCCUAAAACCCUCAAAACCCUAACUUUUGCCUCGUUUUCCUCUCAUCCUGAAAACCCAAAUCCCGUGAUGCUAACCUCUUCAUUUCCCAUAAACCCUCCAUAAUCACAAAAUUCAUGUAACUGAAAUGGAGAAAAUUGUUAACUCACAACUUCACGGUGUAGAUUCAAGGACAUGGGGAGUUGUAGGUGCUCUGUCGUUAUCUCUCUAAGGCUCUAAUUCUUAGUCUCUCUCUUCGUCGCCAUCACUAGGUGAAUAUCUUUUUCCAUAGCUAUUCCGAUCAUGCUUGUAUCAUUCAUUUUGUGAUUUUGUUUUGUUGUUGUUAUUUUUUUUAUUUUUUUGGUUUUUUUUAUAUGUUGAUGAAAUUGGAUGUAGUUGGAUAAUGACAGAUGGAGUGUGUUAAUGAUGUGUCGCUAGUUGUUCGAUGGAUGAGGUAGGAAGGGAAAAAGGGGGAGAAAUUUGGCAUUUCUGAUUUUGGAUUUAAUAUUGAAAAAUUAGGGCUUAAUAAAUUAACAUAAUUUUUUUUUUUUUUUUUUUUUUUUUGUGGAUGGUUAUUCUUUUUUGCAUUCUUAUUGUUUAUUUUGGAUUAUGCUUAAUUGAAGCCAUGGAUUGUUAGAACUUUUGGUUAUUACUAAUUUUUUUAGUUAAUUUUCUGAUGCAAUGAUUCAUGCACUGUUAUUUAAGCUUGGUGAAUGGGUUUAUAUGGCCUUGGAUCUUCCAUCGUGCUCAUUCUCAUAUAUUUUUAAUAGGAAUCUGGGACCAUGCUAUUUGAUUUGCUUAUUUUCUUGAUUUUUAUGGAUGAUUCGCAAUAUGUAGUUACUAGAGGCAAUGAGAUGCCUAAAACUAUUUUUUGAAGGAUGCUAUAGUGGUUUUGCCAAAUUUAUGAUGUCAGUAGAUAUUUAGGAUGCUACUCUUUUAAGGCUUCAAGCAUACUUAAUAAAUUCAUGCUUCAAUUUGCUAAGUGAGAAGAAAAACAUUUGUUAAGAAAAAGUUUAAACUUUUGCAGUGUUUUUCAUCUGAUAAAUUGUUAAGAAAAUAAAUGAAAAGGUUAUGGUUGAAUUAGCUAUUGUAUGCAGUGACAAAUGUUUUUUUAAAAAAAAAAAAAAAAAAAACUUUUAAGUUUUCAAUUUAGAUUAUCCGUUAUUUAUAUGAAUCAAUAUUUGAUAUUGUCUUUUAUUUAUCCAUGAUAUUGUUUUCUUGUAGGAAAAUAAGCACAUAUUUUGUCUUUGAAUUUGCCUUUGCAAGUUUCUGAGUUCUCUAUUGUUUUACCUUUGUUUUCUUACUAACCAAGCAAAUAUUUCUAAUUUAUUUUUAAAUUCUGAUACACAUUCUCUUUAAUUGCAUGCAUCCAUAUUUGGUAUUUUCUUUUAUUUACCCAUUGAAUUAUCUAAUGCAAGUUUCAAAUUUGAUUUCCCUGUUCCUGGAUAUCUCAGCAACCAAAAGGUUUUAUUUUCUUUAAGUUCUCAUUCUCCCUACAUGCAUGACAUGGCAUGGAAUUCUUUUAUCAUUUUUCCUGACUUUUCCAAUUUUUUCUAUCAUGCAUUCUCAUAUUUUUUGUGUUCUUUAUUGCUUUAGUGAAAUCUCAUUUAGAUUGAAUGAUUAAUUGUUUAGGGUGUUUGAAGUUCUAAUUUCAUGAUAUAAUGAUAUCUUUAUAUUUUUUUCUUUAGAUAUAUAUAUAUAUAUAUAUAUAUAUAACAACAUUGGGAGGAACAUUACUUGAAUUAUCACAUUUUCAAAAUGGUAGGGAUUCAAAGAAAAUGAUAGAAGGUAUUUGAUUUUCUUCAUAUACUUUUAAGAUAACUGUUGUUGUUUUUUCAGUUUUAUGUUGAAUAUAUGUGAUAAACAAUGACUGUGAUUUACAGUAUACUAACUUGUAAUAACAAUUUUGUGGGGAACUAUUACUAAUACUGCAAAUUCCAUUCUGAAACUGGAGGAGGCAUAAGUAAUCAAUCCCAUACAACAUGAAGCAUUAUGGUGCCAAGGAAAUGGCCUCACUAAUCAAGCAAUGAUGUUCUUGUGACCUGGUUGAGCUUUCUAUGACUUCAUUUUUGGACACUUUUUUUUUUGUUGCUCAUUUGAUAGCCUUUGAUCUAAUUAAUAUAAAAUUUCAUUUUAAUUAUUGGUGAAUUCAUUAUUGAUCAUAUGUUGUUAGGCGUCAAAGAUGUAUGAGGACAUCCAUACUAAUGCAACUAAUCAACAACUUAUAGGUGUUGCUUCUUCUAAAGCAAAUGUGAGAACUUUAGGGUAUUGUUUCAUUUUGCAUGCAACCUAGGUUAACAUUCCCAUCUUUGAGGGUUUCCUUAAUUUCUAUUGCUUAUAUAUUUUUCAUUUCUUUGUGUUUCUGUUUUUUCCUUUUUGCAAAGUAGUACCAAGUUGUAGGUUGUUCCUUAUUUAUUAUGUUACUGCCUAUACGAGCGUAUACCCUUCCACUUGUUCAUAAUAGGUGAAAUAAUUUGCAUAAGAAUUUUUAUAGCAGUUUUACCCAUUCAUUCUACACUUAAUAUUGAUCUUGAUGAUCCUACGCUAUCAUGGUUAUGAGAUUUGCAUGUUUUGAUUUUGAUAUUAGAAUUGUUAGAUGAACAUGAUGUUAAGUAGAAGCAAACCCUAAAUUUACUUCUAGCUCCUUGGAACAUAGUAGGAAGUGAUAAGUUUUUGGGGCUGGUUCCUUGAGUUUCCAAGUUUAGGUUUUCUUGGGAAGAACUUAUUGUUAAUGUGUGAAUUCAUUCAAGCUAAUUAGUGUAAAAUUUUCUAGAGUUUUCAUGUGAAAGCACCUUAGUUUUUCCUAUUGCGUUUGUGUUUUUGCAGGUUUAUUAUUUUGUUGAUUAUCAUUUUUCAAUUAAUGGAAGCAAUAGGGUCACCCUUGAAGGUGGGCAUACAGGUGUUGUUAAGGGUGUGCUUCCUAUGUUCGGCAAGCUGAUUGACACCACCCAAAGCGAAGGCAUUUUUGGAUGCAUCCGUUUUAAUUUAAUUUUUUUUCCAUAAAAAUUUUCAUUUCUUUUUAGUGGAGCAUGAAAUUUUCUGUUAGUGGUGGUGUGAAUUUUCUGUACAAUUUUUGUAUCUCUUUUAAUUUAAGAUUAGAUUGAAACUUUCAUCAAGUAGUAACAGAAAAAAAAAAAACAAUAUUGAUAAAUUGUGUUUCAAUUUAUAUUAAGUUAUUCAAGAUUUACAUUCCAAUUAAUUGUUGCCAAGAAAAUAUAUAUAUAUAUAUAUAUAUAUAUAUAUACUUGUCACUAUAUUAAACAAGAAGUUGGUGUAGGUGAUGAUAGUAGCAAAAAUGGGUCUUCCCGAACAGUUAAAAUCCAGAUUAUAUGGUCCAAUUGGAUAUCAAGCAAAUGAGAAGAGCUCAAGGAGAUAAAAACUUAAUUACCUACAAUGAAAAUGCAUUCAUGGGUACCUAUAUUAUAUGAUGGGUUUUGUUUUUGUAGUUUGGUGAUUUUGAGUAAAUAGCAAUGGUCCAUAUAAUUUGUUUCAUUGACAUAAACCAAAACCUUGCUAACCUUGGUAAAGAAAACUCAAGUUAGCCAAAAUCUCAGUGUGCCAAGACUCCAUGUAGGUUAUUGCAAAAUUUCUUGUUUUAAC